UUUCAGUUUCUUUUUAGGUUAUGCAGCUCAUAAAUAGAGCAGUUUUAAGCUCUGUUUUUUUAUUAAUUGAAAUUAAAACUUUAUUUUUUGAAUCAAUCAAUCUACUCAGAUGCUUGAAAUGGUGUUCUCUCAUUGAUUGACACUAUUUUCGUGUUAUCUUGAUGGUGGAUUAUAAGUUGCAAAUAAUUUUUUUUUGAGGAAAAAAUAUGUUUUUCCGCAUUUAGAGAGUUAUUUGCCACUAAUGGUCCUCCGUCAAGCGUGAAAAAUAGUGUCAAUUGGUGAUUGGAUCUCCAUGUGUUUGAGUUGGAUAAUGGAACGAGUGAUUGAUUGGUCCUUUACCGAUUUUUGAGGUUUUUGAGUAGGUGAACUUGUUCUUUUGUGUUUUUUUUUUUUUCCCUCAAAACCCUAGAUUGAUUUACCCCUUGAAGUUAAAUCUUAAUUUUUUGUUCUGGUCAUUUUCUAUUUCCUUAACCUUGGGUUUUAAGUGGGUUCAUGCAUACCAAACUCAUAAAUUUUCAUAAAUUUCACGGUUUAGAAGAGCAAUUUGGAACCUCCCUCAUGCAAUCUUCUUCCUGCGGCAAAAGCUUCUGAUGGAGGCACACAGUAACAAUGGAGUUCAUCACAAAAAUUCAAGUUGUUAACAGAUGUACACCUUGUUCUCCCUCGGGCUUGAUGUUUAGAACAAAUUUCAUAGAUCAUCACAAACGUCAUUAUCGGAACAACAUGUUCAUACAAGCUCCGCUGAUGAGACGAUGUAUGGGCUACGUUUGCGUACAUGUUGUUCCUAUAAUGGCGUUUGUGGUGAUAUAUGAAAUUUGUUCUAAACGUCAAGCUUCCAGGCAGAACAAGGAAUACAUCCGUUAACCACUUGAAUUGUUGUGAUGAACUCCAUCACUGUGUGCCUUCAUCAGAAGCAUUUUCUGCAAGAAGAGUAUUGUAAGAUCUGAAGCACCGAAUUGCUCUUCUAGACUGUGAAAUUUAUCAGUUUGAAAAUUUUACCUUGAGAGACAUUGCUUUCUGAAUGAAGAGUUUAAGGCAUUGGUCUAAAGCGAUUGUGAAAUUUUGUUAAUUGCGAUCUACAUUGGAUCUCACUCGAAUCACCCCAUCUAUCCUCGGGAGGAUGAGUUUGGUUUCAAAUCUCAGAUCGAACAGGAAGAGCAUGCCAUGCUAAUGUACCUCGGAUGAUCUACAUCUCAGGGUCAAUCGAUGAGCACAUUAACCUACGAUGACUUCAUCAAGGAUUUCUGAUUUUUAGCCAUUUUGAUUGGAUCAUUUAUGAUACCAAUUGAUUAACAAGCUCAGCUGCAGGAAAAGGAAAGCCUUCUCAAGCUUUAUGAUAGGAUCUUUAGUUACUGAUUACUUUCAUGUUUUCUGAAAUUGACUUGUUAAUAACCUGUUAUGGUGCACAAAGUAGCGUCCUCUCAAGGGGAAGUUUUACGUGCUAAAUUGUACUAGUACUAGUUUAUUUCUUUGUUCCUGAGAAGAUAGGUUAUUGUUGGCGUUCCUUUUGUUAUUAAAUAUAUGUAGAAGUUCGGAUACUAUUAUGAAUGAUUAGCUAUUCAGAACGGAAUGAACUUGACCUACUGUACAAUUCUAAAGUUUCUAUAGACAUUUGGAGAAGACUUCAUUGUAACUUUAGAUCAUAGUUAUGUUAUGAUCUAAUUAUAACAAUAAGAUGUGUAGAUGAAAAUGAGAGACAGAAACAUUGAUGCAUCGGAACCUAAAUAUCAGAAUCGCAUUGAUAUUGCCACCACCACCACAAACCCUCUCCGGGGAACCUGGAAUUUGGCAUCCAGAUCUACCCCCUGACAAUAUCUACUCAAACCUUAAUAUUAGACUAUUUUAGAUGAAGUUAGGUCCCUAACUUCCUUAGGAACUUGCUGAACUGUUUUGGUUUUGUUGCAACUACCCUGCCCUUUAUUAUUUUCUCUGGUGAUCUUGCAUUAUAUUAAACAUUAUUUAUCUGAAUUAUGGCAUUAAUGAGCAUUACUCGUAAAGACGAUACAGGUGAUUCCACCUUUGUGCUUACUACAUGUAUUUUCUGUAGCUUCUCGGACACGUUGAAGAUUGAAAUGCCAUUGUUUCCCUGUUGGGUUGGGUAUAUCGUGCUGACAAUUCUUUUGUCUGAUACCUUUACAUCUAUUCUAAUCGGUAUUGACCAGUGACCACUAUAACCUUUAAUCUUUGUUAUUUUUCAUAGCUUGGCUUGUGUGUCUUUGUGCUUCCAUUGUUGACUAUGAAUAUACAUGUCAAUUUAGAUUUGUUGCUUCGUAAUUAGGGAUCUCUUAAAUGAGUCAUGUCAUGCUCUUGGAAUAGGAAUCUUUUAUGUUGUUUUCAGUUAUUCACACUUCAUCGGGCCUUAUUUUACAUAAGUGCUAGCUACUUUUGCUAUGUACUGCAAUUACCUUUUUAGUACAUUUACCAAUAAAUAAGUAUGCAACUGGAAGGCAAGCUGAAAGGCUAGAAUUAGAACUUCAGUGACAUGUCCUUACUCAAGACUGUUAAUUCUUGACUGUCAAACUCAUACUGGAACCACUUUGCAGAAUAAACUACUAUAUUAAGAGUCAAAACUUACUUAACGCUCUAAGAAGUCAUUCAAUGCAACUUGGUAUAACAAUAUGGAACGUAAAACUGAGCAUGUAGUGGCUAGAAAGCUUAUAUACUUGAGUUAUCAAGCAGUCAGAAACUAGUAGAAAGCUAUCAGGAGACCUUUUAAAGAGCUGCAAUACUCGGGUAUUGUCAAACGUAAAAUAUGAAGGUGUAUCUGCUACCACAAUUUGAUUAUGAUCUUAGGAUGUCUAGUGUGCCCUUGCGAGGUCAUGAAAUUUUCGUGAAGUGUUGCAAUUGUAACGUGUUUAGUGGACAAAAUAGCUGUAGGCUUUUCAACAAUAAUUGUUGUUGAGGAACUCUUUCCUAGAAUCUCGUCGAUCAGAUUUUGUAGUGAACAGUAAGAGUUGUGCAGAUUUGUCGUGUAGAUCCCCUUCUGCACUUUUCCUAUUUGUCAAGUAACCUCUUCUUGCGCAGAUUUGUCGUGUAGAUCACAUUCUGUACUCUCCUUUUUGUCAAGUAAAUCCUCUUGUUGCGCAGAUUUGUCGUGUAGAUCCCAUUCUGCACUCUCCUAUUUGUGAACUAAAUCCUCUUGUUGCAGAUUUGUCGUGUAGAUCCCCUUCUGCACUUCCCUAUUUGUCAAGUAAACCCUCUUGUCCACGCAUUUUGCUCCCAUGGGUUGUUUCUAUUGGCCUUUCAAUGGCUUAUCCAAUUUCCUGUACUAGUUAACACAAGCCUUCAACUUUUUGAUGCAACAGUUCUUGGAACAACGGUAAAGUUGUCUCCGUUUGACCUAUAGGUCACGGGUUCGAGCCAUGAAAGCGGCCACCAAUGCUUGCAUUAGGGUGGGUUGUCUACAUCACACCCUUGGGGUGCGGCCCUUGCCUGGACCCUGCUAACGAUGAAUGCUUUGUGCAUCGGGCUACCCUUUUCUAGUUACUAUUAUUUUGUUCUUUCUGAUUUCCACUAACUGCCAAUGUAACAGGGAUUGCCACUAAGUUUGCUAUACUCCAUGGCUUCCAUUUAUGAUUUCCACUAACUGCCAAUGUAACAGGGAUUGCCACUAAGUUUGCUAUACUCCAUGGCUUCCAUUUACUAUCUUCCAGGUAUCCUUCUUUGUUUUUGUCAUGUGAUGUUUGUGUUAUAAUAAGGAAUCAGCAGUAAAUCGAAAACCUGAGCAGUCAGAACAAGGAAGGGUCUUAAUAUAAAAGCAAAUAGAAUGACUGUGGCGAAAUUGAGAUGUUGGAUUGUUUAUGGUUUGCUUUCAUAUUAGAUGAGCAAGGUAUGCUGAUUAUCGAGCUUGGGAGGCAACCAAGAUGUGCUGCUUAUCAUUCUACUAAGAUCUCUGAGAUUUGUUUCUUGAAUCCGACAGAGUGUACUUGGGUUCUGCUAAUAACUAAAAAGUUUAGCAUGCCUACUUCUAUCCGGGGUUCUAUCCGGGGUUCGCGUUGGUGGAGGAAUUGGAUUUUAAAAAAAAAAAGGGGGGGAUUCUGGAAUUGAGACUUAUUCUGCUGGACUCUUGCAGACUGCCUUGGUGUAAUCCUUUACCAUGAUUUGCACUUUUUGAGGUCAUCCAACAUGUCCAUGCUUUAGUGCUAGCUUCUAAGCUUUAUAAUGUUCACCACCGAGGGGUGGUGGUGGAAUGAAAAAUGUUCCUACACUUUUAACCAGACGUUUCAGGUUCAAGUUCGGUGAAUGGAAUCUUCUUUGAUAGGGAGCGUUGAAACCCCUUUCAACCCCCAUAGAGGGCUUUAUACGGCAGGAAUAUGGUAGAAUGGUGAAGGUGAAGGUGAAGGUGAAGGUGAAUGCAAGGUAGCAUUUUUAACCAGAGGGGUGUGGUGAAAUAGUGAAGUUUCCUCCACUUUUAAUCAAAGAUUUCGGGUUAAAGUUUUGGGAAUUAAAUCUCUUUUUGAUAGGGAGCAAUAAAACCUGUAUAGCGGAUUCUCUCAUUAAAUGCUAGUCACUCUUAUUUAUUAAGUAUACCAAGUGAAGUACAUAUA